rnacentral:rRNA from 1 species
AGCGAACGCUGGCGGCAGGCUUAACACAUGCAAGUCGAGCGGGCACUUUCGGGUGUCAGCGGCGGACGGGUGAGUAACGCGUGGGAACGUGCCCUCUGGUUCGGAAUAACUCAGGGAAACUUGAGCUAAUACCGGAUACGCCCUUUUGGGGAAAGGCUUGCUGCCGGAGGAUCGGCCCGCGUCUGAUUAGCUAGUUGGUGAGGUAACGGCUCACCAAGGCGACGAUCAGUAGCUGGUCUGAGAGGAUGAUCAGCCACACUGGGACUGAGACACGGCCCAGACUCCUACGGGAGGCAGCAGUGGGGAAUAUUGGACAAUGGGCGCAAGCCUGAUCCAGCCAUGCCGCGUGAGUGAUGAAGGCCUUAGGGUUGUAGAGCUCUUUUAUCCGGGACGAUAAUGACGGUACCGGAGGAAUAAGCCCCGGCUAACUUCGUG